CAUUAGCCGACACACAUUAGAAUGGCCGAGCAUGUAGAGUAUCUGGAUGAUCCCGAUAAAUCGGAGAACGACACGAAAGUUUACAGAUCUCUUGUGCUGUCGGCACCAUCGGUCCAUAUAGGAUUGCCCAGCAACGCAUCCUGUGCCUUGAUGGUCAACCACGGUCCAUUCGCCGAUCCGCGCAACUAUCAGUGCCUGGCCCACCUUCUGCAACAUAUUAUUUUCAUGCGCAGAAAGCCCAGGAUCCCAAGGAGAACAUCAACGGCCAAUGCUCCUCUUCAAUCUUAAGCGAGGACACGAUGUUCUCCUCUAAAGCAUCCCUUGAUGCUGAAGGAAUCCACUGAAUGUGGCCGCGCUCUCGAGGACUCUGAGUUUCAGCUGAUGGCAAACAAAAAUGAACAGCGUCGCAACCAGCCGCUUGCCGGACUUGCCACCCAAGGCUAACCGCAUGCCUUUUUCAACUUGGGUAACAUGAAAUUGUAGAAUGACAAUGAUGGCCAUCGCCUCCAAAAUUUUUCCCUUGCAGUGCUGAUACGUGCGACUUGUACGUUUCAUUGGUAAAGCUCCAUUUGGACAAGGAAUUGCAACUCGACGAAAGUGCCAAACUCAAUAGCCACUUCAGGGUCAGCGACAAUGGUCUGCGUCUGUUUGUGAGCCGCUACAAUGAAAAUAUCUGUUUGUGGAGGCCAUUGCCUAAGGUAUAACCAGGUAUAAUAACCAGCGCGACUACUACUCCACAAUUCUGAACAAUCCAUGGACCCUCAGCAGGCAGUAUUCUGUAGUGCUGGGACAAAGCCAAUGCCUGACGAUUGUCAAGUAUAAGUCCCUCAAUGGGAUCACUCUGGAGGAUUUGAAGGCAUUUGCCCAGAAAAUACCGCAGGAGCUGUAGAUCAAGGCCCAAAAGGUGGUCCAUUCGUUACUCGGCCCACUAAAAUGCGAGGCCAUUAGGGAUAUGCAGCUCGUGGAGAAAGGAAACGUAAACCUUUACGCGUGGAGGUCAUACUCGACUUGUUAAAUAUGGGCAUCAGCCACCGUCAAAUUUGUUAGACCAGAAUCCAAAUGUAAAUGAGUUCGACAUUGUAUUUCUGCCAAAAAAAAAUGGAGAGGGAGAUAUGCGGACCAUUGUCGAUAUUGCCGAUUUCAAAAGCGGUACCCCAAACGCAACGAGGGAGGAGCUGUGGGAGGAAACUAGCCGUACCUCAAGCUUCGAGGAUGCCCUGAGAAAUCUGUGCACCAUCGUAGAAUCUUGAUGUUCAUACACUCACGAGAAAGCCAGACAAGGGACACACUCUCCAGAUAAGUUUUUAAGUUGAAUUGAAUACUAGUACUACAAGUAAUA